GACGAUGACAGUAGUGCACUCAGCAUGUCCAUCGCUGCAGUUCCUCUUCUCGUGGCUUUCCUUCGUUUAUAAGAAUGUCAACUCGAUCGAAAUCACGAAAAACAUGCCACUCUGACUUAGCAAAGAAUCUUAGAAGCCUUGGAGAUAUUUUUUCAAGAAAGAACUCCUUUAUAUUUUAAUGAUGCUUAUUGCAACAUCAUUUCGAAUGCCGUGAUUGAAAUAAGAAACUGAAUCAAACGAUGCACGCCUUCUCUAUAAUUUUAGAAUUUUGAAUCAUUGUCAGUUAUGUAAUAAACCGUUAGCAUAGAAUGUUUAUCUUAUAUUUUGUUUUUAAAGUUACAUUUUCUUGUAAAA